rnacentral:rRNA from 1 species
GGGCCAGACUCCUACGGGAGGCAGCAGUGGGGAAUAUUGCACAAUGGGGGAAACCCUGAUGCAGCAACGCCGCGUGAGUGAAGAAGUAUUUCGGUAUGUAAAGCUCUAUCAGCAGGGAAGAAGAAAGACGGUACCUGACUAAGAAGCCCCGGCUAACUACGUGCCAGCAGCCGCGGUAAUACGUAGGGGGCAAGCGUUAUCCGGAUUUACUGGGUGUAAAGGGAGCGUAGACGGCAUAGCAAGUCUGAAGUGAAAGCCCGGGGCUCAACCGCGGAACUGCUUUGGAAACUGUUAAGCUGGAGUACAGGAGAGGCAAGCGGAAUUCCUAGUGUAGCGGUGAAAUGCGUAGAUAUUAGGAGGAACACCAGUGGCGAAGGCGGCUUACUGGACGGCAACUGACGCUGAGGCUCGAAAGCGUGGGGAGCAAACAGGAUUAGAUACCCGAGUA